UACGUAGGGUGCGAGCGUUAAUCGGAAUUACUGGGCGUAAAGCGUGCGCAGGCGGUUUUGUAAGUCAGAUGUGAAAUCCCCGGGCUUAACCUGGGAACUGCGUUUGAAACUACAAGGCUAGAGUGUGGCAGAGGGGGGGUGGAAUUCCACGUGUAGCAGUGAAAUGCGUAGAGAUGUGGAGGAACACCGAUGGCGAAGGCAGCCCCCCUGGGUUAACACUGACGCUCAGGCACGAAAAGCGUGGGGGAGCAAAACAGGAUUAGAUACCCCCA
rnacentral:rRNA from 1 species